AUGAUAGCGAUGAAGCGUGUGCUUACUAUGAUAGUGAUGAACCAUGUACAUGUAUGCUUCUGCUUUCAUGGAUUGUCCGUAGUGCUCGUUGAGCCAACUACUGCUGCUGCUGCCGCUGCACUCAAGCUAGCAGCGGCAAAGGCAAAGAAUGAUGGUAGGUCGAACAACAUGAAGUGGCAGCCGUUCAUGUCCACGUUCGUGCUGAACAAGAUGUGUGAGCUCAUCUCUAGUGUAGUUAGGACUGACAAGGGCUUUAAGGAGGUGCACUUGAACACCGUUGCGAAUAAGGUGUUCGAGUUCUGUGGGCAAGAGGUGUCUGCCACCCAGGUGUACAACCACUUGAGGAAGUGGAGAAGUCGAUGGAUCCAAGUGUCCAGGCUGAGAGACCUUAGCGGUGCCUCAUGGGAUGAGAACACUUGCUCCAUAGUUCUAGAGGCAGAGCACUACGCCGGCCAUGUCGCGGGUGGCUUCAGCGACGAGGCUCUCAUGGCAGCUCUCAGCCACCUGCUUGACAACAAGGCCCAGGGUGUCGGGUUCGUUGCCAUGGCCGGCGCUCAUAGGGGCAAGUGGUAUGCCGUGUUCAUCGGUAAGGUCCCAGGGGUUUAUAGGGAAGAAGCCAGUGCACAAGUGGCAUCGUAUAGCAACAACACCCAUAGAGGGUUCAAGACUAGGCAGGCAGCAGAACAAGCUUACUCCGAGUGGGUGCGAAAGCACGACAGCAGUGUUGACAGUCGCAAGGUUGGAGGUGUCAAGGUGGAUCGUCAGUUUGGGCUGAAGCUGAAGAACUUCAUCAUCUUCGCCCAGUUCAUCGCCAUUGCUGUGCCGUGGCAUUGGUGUGCUAGGUGUGGGUAA
rnacentral:rRNA from 1 species